rnacentral:tRNA from 1 species
CCUUCGAUAGCUCAGUUGGUAGAGCGGAGGACUGUAGACCCUUGGGUCGCUGGUUUGACUCCGGCUCGAAGGA